rnacentral:rRNA from 1 species
GGGUGGUAAUGCCGGAUGCUCCGGUUGGAUGCAUGUCCUUCCGGGAAAGAUCCAUCGGUAUGGGAUGGGGUCGCGUCCUAUCAGCUUGAUGGCGGGGUAACGGCCCACCAUGGCUUCGACGGGUAGCCGGCCUGAGAGGGCGACCGGCCACAUUGGGACUGAGAUACGGCCCAGACUCCUACGGGAGGCAGCAGUGGGGAAUAUUGCACAAUGGGCGCAAGCCUGAUGCAGCGACGCCGCGUGCGGGAUGGAGGCCUUCGGGUUGUAAACCGCUUUUGAUCGGGAGCAAGCCCUUCGGGGUGAGUGUACCUUUCGAAUAAGCACCGGCUAACUACGUGCCAGCAGCCGCGGUAAUACGUAGGGUGCAAGCGUUAUCCGGAAUUAUUGGGCGUAAAGGGCUCGUAGGCGGUUCGUCGCGUCCGGUGUGAAAGCCCAUCGCUUAACGGUGGGUCUGCGCCGGGUACGGGCGGGCUGGAGUGCGGUAGGGGAGACUGGAAUUCCCGGUGUAACGGUGGAAUGUGUAGAUAU